rnacentral:tRNA from 1 species
GAGGGUAUAGCUCAGCGGUAGAGUGCGUGCUUAGCAUGCACAAGGUUGUGGGUUCAAUCCCCAGUACCUCCA